UCUCUGGGAACUUGAGCUACACCCUCCAAUCCUGAAUUCUUUUUGUUUGUUUUGUUUUGGUUUGGUUGAGACAGGGUUUCUCUGUAGCUUUGGAGGCUGUCCUGGAACUAGCUCCUGUAGACCAGGCUGGUCUCUAACUCACAGAGAUCCACCUGUCUCUGCCUCCUGAGUGCUGGGACUAAAGAUGUGAGCCACCAACGCCCGGCCUCAGUCCUGAAUUCUUAAUGUGCUGUGAAAACCUCAACUGAGCAUUUUCUUCAUCAAAGCGCCCUUCGCCUGGUUCGAUGUCAUCACAAGCCCGUGCCCAUGCCCUGCAUGCUCGAGUGAGCCCUCAUCCCAUGCCUGACCUUUGGAAUCAACUUCUUCGUGGGAAAGCAACCUGUGCCUCCACUGAGCACAAGUGCACAGGGCUAUUUUGAGCCACCACUCUCUGGAAUCAUGACAGCCUGACUUGUGGAAUUGGAAGUAGGUCACCAACUAAUCUCUUCCAAGUGACAAAAAAAAAAAAUGCAUCUGCAGAACCCAUGAAGACAAGAGGGCAGCCCGUCUUUACCUUUUGCUAACCCACCCACACUCCCCUGGAAACUGGAGACACAGCAGAGGUUGGCUACGUACAUCAGCUACGAUCUGGCUGCGUGUGUGUGUGUGUGUGUGUGUGUGUGUGUGUGUGUGUGUGUGUGUGUAUAUAUACACACACACACACAAAGUGAUAAAAUGACCAAGUCCUCUAUUUCUUUUACUGGCAUUGUCAUAGCUGUUGAUGGUUGUCAUAGAAACCAGCAGAGGUGUCCUGGCUCCUCUCUCCCAGCCAGAAGAAGACCUGAAGUUAUUCUGAUCUGAGACUUUUAAAAAUAGAAACUGCCUUAAGCUAGGUAAACAGUCUCAGAGUUCUGUCUGCUUUGAAAAUAUUUGGCCACAUGGUUCUUUAUUUAUAAUUUGUCAUAAAUCUUAAUUAAAAAAUAGAAAAAGUGUUUGGGGGCUGGGGAAAUGGCUCAGUGAGUACAGUAUUUGCUUUGCAAGCACAAGGACCUGAAUUUGUUCCUCAGAACCUAUGUUUAAAAUCCUGUAUUGUCACAUGCUUUUGUAAUCCCAGCACUGGGGAGG
rnacentral:lncRNA from 1 species